CAGAGAUGAGACAGCAGGGAGGUGUGACAGCUUGUAUACUUCUGAAAGUACUCUCAUGUCUUCUGUGCAGCUGUAAUAUCCACUUGGCCCAGAAGUGAUGAGAUUUGUCAUCGCUUGGCACGCAGGAAUGGAGAAAGCAGAGCCAGAAUGGAAACAAACCCUGAGCAUUUUUAAAUGAAAAUGAGAAACAAAACUCUGAGGUUUCUGCACCCAAUCAUGAUAAUGCACUCUAAGGCUACCUCCCAUGUGAAUAUUAAGGAGCAGCGACACCUGGGCUUCUGGGCGCUUUAAUUACAGAAGUCAAUAAUAAAGACUGGCCACUGCGUGAAAGCAAUCUCAGAAGUCGAGCGAGAAGAAAACUUCCCAUCAUUCCAGACCUGUAUUUUUGUGGCUUUACAAGAAUGCUGUUGAAUCUGCACUGGGAACAGAGUAGCUGCAUCUUAUUUAUAGCUCUGUUCCGUCUGGUUCAUUUCCUCUAACUUCCCCACAGAAUGAUAUGAAUGAAAAUGACACUAUUGACUAUGUGGAUGACAAUAAAAG
rnacentral:lncRNA from 1 species